GCAACUGAUAUUUUUCUUACAAAACUUAAAAGCAGAGCAUGGAAUUGAAGUCCUGAAUACUCUGUUUUCUGCAUCUUCACACCUAUUUUUGGAGAUAGUGAGCCGUCUCCUAGAAUCAUCUUCUCCUGUCUUAUUUAAUUAAACCCCUCCUGACUCUUCCAUUGUGUGGUUUCUCAAAACAAAGAAAUGUGUACUCUUGACUUCUUAUUAAAACUCAUGCAUUUCCACUUUAUUUUAACUGAAAGUAGGAUAGGUGUAUGAACCUUAAGAAUAUAAUAAGGGGGAGAAAGUUAGUAUGUAGCAGUGCCAACAGAUCCUCGUAAGAAUUCAGAAAAGCUAAGAAACAAAACUAAUAAGAACUUAUCUCAACCAUGUUGUUUUGUGAUUGGAAAUGGGGUAUUGUGCGGCUUGAACUUCUGCCAUUGGCAGAGAAGACUGGAAUAGCUGGAGAUAGAAUUGCAUUGGCCCGAGUCUAAAUUGCCACUGAAUAAAUUGGCUGUCAGCGGAUUCAGUUCCCAUCAUCAACCUGGUGCUUUGAUGGACGACCCUGAUUUCUCAACAUGUGAAACUGCCCCUUUCGUAGCUGCACAAAACAGGUGCCUCCAUGCAACACAGCAGCUCCAGGAGCUGAGACACCUGCACAGUGGACACACCAGCUGACAAUGAGGGCUGAAGCCUAGGUUGUAGUCACAGAGUGAAUACCUGAUUGCUUGGAAAAAUCACGGUCAUCUUCAAUGACUCCUGUGGAUAUAUGCUUGGACAAAUCACCCCUCUAACAGCACGCACACCAGCUACAAAGUAUGUAAUAGCUCUGAAUGUUACAAAGUAUGUACUUGCUCUGAAUAUUGAGAAUGGUCACACCCUAUCCAGAACCUGUUUUUAAAUAAGCACUUUCUUAACAACAGGCCACAUCAAGGGUCAGCACACUACAGCCCACAAACCAAAUUCCAACACCUAUUUUGUACGGUCCGUGGGUCUCAUAUUUCAAAAUUUGUAAAUGGCUGGAAAAAAAAAAAUCAAAAGAGGGAUGAUUGAUAACACAUGGAAAUCAUGUGAAAUUCAGAUGUCAAUGUCCACAGCCAAGCUUCACUGGCAGACAGCCACGUAUGUGCACCUCUGGUGCCGCUUUCAGACUGCGAAACAGGGGGCUCUGGCCAGGCGCUGAAUCAGCAUGGAUACACCGGCUUCUCCCCAGACAGGUUUGCCAAAAGGCGUGUCUGACGUCAUUGCUCCUGUCCUGUGAUGAGCUAAGCUCCGGGGCCACUUCAGCUGGGUGGGCGGCCAUUAAUUGCAGGAGUCCCUCUGUGUUCCUUUGUGUUUAGAAAAAAUGUGACAGGUGCAGCCACACUGGCGACCCACACUUCCCUCGCAGGGAGCUGGGGAGGAGUCGUGCUGGCCACCAUCUCAGAGACUGUGCUCCAGCCAUUUUUUCUCAUGCUGGGAUGGAUAGUGCACAGGUUCUACAUCUCUUUCACGUCGUUAUUAAAAAGGAGCCCCUUCUCACGCACCUGUCUCCGCAGAGGUGCAGACACACCUGUUGUAGGCACGCACUUGCAGAGCGGCUUGCAACCACACAGGUGCCAUUGACCCCGGCCCAGCACCCAUUCUGCUGUCAGCUAGACUUAGUUCUGUUUCCCGGCUCACCUGAUAUGGGCUGGUUAUGGAGGGAGAGGAGCUGAGCAGAGAGAAGCACAUGCCUGAGCGAUGAUGAACUGACCAAGGAGCCUGCCUCUGAGAUCCCCGAACUUGAGAUGAAGAAGCUGCUCAUGGAACUAUGCAGGUCCGGGGCGUCCGCCUCCUGUUUCCUUCUCUUACCUGUUUCUUUCUAGUGUCCCUCUGGAGAUGGAUUCCAUGCAGUUUAAUAAUUUUUUUGAACUUAAAGACAAAACGAUAAGGACUCAUCUCAGGACAGCAUGGUCCCCACACCUUACCAACCCCGCGGACAGUGGCGCUCAGUUGGACCUCCACAGUCUCUCGCCGUGGUUGACAGGGUCUGAUGAGGAAGAUCAUCCGAGCUGGCUGCCUCUCCUCCCCUUUGCAACCCUGUGGGUUUGCUCUGCUGGCCUCUGAAAUAACACGUAAUGAAACACAGCCCUUUUCUGCAUCAUGAGCAGGAGCAUAUAGAAGGCAAUUAUGUUGCUUCUUGCAGCUUUGCCCUCCUGCUCUUGCCAGUAAAAGCCCAUUUUCCAAUCCUUCUUCAGCCAGAGCACCUUCUCUUGGACUCGGCAGCCUGUCCAGCUCAGUGCAGGGAGCUCAGGUCAGAAAUUCUGCACACACAACCUCUGCCGAGCUCCUCAGAUUUGACUUGGAGUGUUUUGCCUGGUUAUGCACAUUCCUGGGAGCUGUUUUCUGGGCAAAACCCUAACAGUGAUCACAAAGACAAAUACAGCUGAAGCUUUGAUGGCACAGAUGUUUUCUUUCUCAGAAACACUUUGUUAAUUUACAGAGGAAUCUGGGAGAAUUUUGAGCUCAUUUCAUUGACUAUUUCCAAAAAUCAUUCCAAUAUCAUUCAAGGUGAAAACAAAAAUCUUCUCAAAAUGUCUCGUCAACAUGCAGAGCAUUUUGUGUCAGAAGACAGAUCGGAGAAAUGAGAUUCACAAGUAUUUAGAACUGAGCCAAAGGCUAACAAAUUCAAUGGAAUUUUGAUUACUGAUUUCAGGAUACUUUACUAUGCGUGGCACACAGGGGUUAACACUAAGCUGAAUUUAUUAUGCGUCUUUAUUUUUGGGUUGGAAAACGAAGCCAAACAAUAAUCCCUUUGUUAUUUCUGAACUGAUCCCAAUUUGGAAUGUGUUGUAACCACCCCCAAGGAAAGGAGUGUACAAUGCAAAUGGCACAAGAGAAGUUAAAACACACACAUGGGAAAUAGCAAGUCGUGUUGAGCCUGGCUAAUUUGAGUUAAUAGAUCUGGAGACCAGCAAUUCUGAUCGGUCGGCAGGGAACCGCUUGGAAAGCCAUGAGCAAUUGUGGUGGGACAGACCUUUUAGUUUCAAGACAGAUACAGUUUGCGCUAGGAGGAGGUGAAUGCAGCUACACCCCAGGAAUCAUUGAGCCCUGGGGUAUUCUUCCCACUGUCACAGCAAUGAAGCCGGAGACGUCUAAGUGGUCAGAAUGAACCCUGCGACACUCAGCAUCCCCCAGCUGCAAUAGAUGUGAUACAAGUUGAGAGGACGUAGGAAGGGAAAUAGCAGGGGAAGGAAAAAUGUGCUUGAAGAUGUUUUAAACGAACGAGAGUCUGCAGAAUAGUCUUCUCCUUUAUAGAAGACGGGAAAUACAGGGAAGAUAUUUUUAAAGGGAUAUUUUUACAACCGCAUAAUAUUAUGGGCACCAUUUAAUUGCAUGCAAAUGAUAGAGAGAGACUCAGAGCAUAAAAAUAUGAUUUCAAUUCCUAUCUUAGAUGCGAGGCUUCACGUGAAAAUUAAAAAGCUAUAAACAGGAAGGAGGUGAGGGGAAGGUUGAUGCAGUCUUGUAGGCAGAAUCAGAGUUUGCGACUUAGAAACAGCGUCACGUUGAGAAUGCGUGUUUCCAGAGAAGUGCUUUAAGCAUUCUACCUCAUUUCAAAUGGACAGCAGCUUUUGUUCCUGUGUCCUGUGCUAUCAGGAGGAGCAUAGUGCAAAACAGAUGGCAUCCAUGGCCUCAAUGCCAAGAUUCGAAAUCCCCUGCCCAACUGUAACAGCAAUGUCCUUUCAAAUUUUAAUAACACCUGUCACCCAGGGACUCAUGACCCUCCUCCAGUUUCAUUAUAGGCACCAUUUCCAUUAGGUUGCUGUCUGUUUUGUUAUCCUCUGCCGGGGAAGUCUCACAUGAGGGCUGUGCAAACAGGCAUACACCGUGAUUCCGGUUGGUUAAUAUAUUUUUAAAAGUCCUGGAUAAUCAUUGGAUUCACAAUUCCCUAUGUAUUAGCUCCUGGUGUGUCUAAUUACUACCUUAAUUUUUACUGCACUACAUGUCCCCAGUCCAUGCAUUUAAAGAAACUGAACUCUAAAUGUGCUUUAUCCUUCAAACAUCCACAAAAAGUCUCUCUUCUUUGUCCACAGUCCACUCGUGCAAAUUUUACCUCCUUGGACCCGAGAGCCAAACAGCAAUAGGACUGCCCAUAUUCCUCGCAUGGGAAUAUCUAAUGGGGUAGUUCAUUGAACACAAAUACUACUACUGAAAGAUACUGAGGGGGGCCAGCACUGUGGCGAAGUGGGCUAAGCCUCCGCCUGCAAGGCCGGCAUCCCAUACGGGCUCUGGUUCAUGUCCAGGCUGCUCCACUUCUGAUCCAGCUCCCUGCUAAUGGCCUGGGAAAGCAGUGGAAGAUGGCCCAAGUGCUUGGGCCCCUGCACCUGCCUGGGAGAUCCGGAGGAAGUUCUUGACUCCUGUCUUCCAAUCAGCCCACUUCCGGCCAUUGGGGACCUUUUGGGGAGUGAACCAGUGGAUGGAAGACCUCUCUCUUUUCUCUGUGUCUUGGUCCAUAACUCUGCCUCUCAAAUAAAUAAACAUAUUGUAAAAAAAAAAAAAAGAAAGAUACUGAGGGCAGUUUGAUCUCCACCCCACCAUGUGCCAUUUAUCAGGGUAUCUGUCAAAUUCCUCUGGCACCUCCACUUACCCACCUCACCCUCACUCCAAAGAUCCCAAGGUUCACUCCUUACUCCUUGUUACAUUCAAGAGAGCACAUAAUUACAAAUAGAUUUAUUAUCCUAGAUGAGUAUUUGAUUCAAACAAAAUGAACUUCUAGCCAUAGUCCACUGAUGGGACCAGCCCACAUUCUCACCAUCCUCAGUGUUGGUGAUUCAUCCAGGAGGUAUUUAGCUAAGUGUUCCAUCAGGUGCUUCAUUCAAGACAUGAACUCCAGCCGCUGAUUGCUUGACUUGCCACUUUUACAUAUGCAACUCGGUGGAUCAAGAGUGUUGGUGACAGGGUUGCUGGCAGCCUAGACCACGCGUAUUUUCCCUAGCAAUUCACAACAACAGCACAACAAUAACCGGCAUGUACAUGUGGUUUACCCUUGGCCGGGCUCUGACGUAGACACUUUGCCUACAUCGGUUCCUGGGAAUCCUAUGACGUAGGCACCGGGAGGUUAAGAAACUCAGCAAAGACACGCAGGUGCAGCCCGUGUGCUCAGUCAGUCAAGGAAUGAACCCCAACCCAGGCCUCUGUCCGUACUGGAUCACCUGUGGAUCACUCUGUCCUUACUGGAUCACCUGUGGUGCAGAGGUGCUUACACAGGGCUGGUCGCAUAAUCUGCAGGGUACAGUACCAAGGGAAGGGAAGGCCCCAUGUUCUAAACUUCUCUGAAGUCCUGGCAGUGAGAACAGAGCCAGUGUGCACAGGUCCGUCCCCAGGGGGCCGGCUCUGCGUGUGAGGAUCUGAUCCUCCGCUGUCCUGAGCUGGGCACUCCACCUGCAGAUUCUGCCACGGUGAGCACUUGCUUACCAGACCCCAAUCCCUGUCCUUCACAGAGGAGAAGGGAAGUACAUAUCCAGAUCAGUGGAUGCCCCUUGGUUUCAUCCACUGAGAUGCAAUUUGGCUUCAUGGUUAAGUCUUAUCCACAUGCAAACACAGCACUGCCAGGGUUGGCGUAUCCAUUGGGCACACACACACACUCACACAUUUUUUGUUUUAAAAAUUAAGUUUGAGGGGCCGGCGCCCUGGCUCACUUGGUUAAUCCUCCACCUGCGGCGCCAGCAUCCCAUAUGGGCACCGGGUUCUAGUCCCGGUUGCCCCUCUUCCAGGCCAGCUCUCUGCUGUGGCCUGGGAGGGCAGUGGAGGAUGGCCCAAGUGUUUGGGCCCCUGCACCCCCAUGGGAGAUCAGGAGAAGCACCUGGCUCCUGGCUUCUGAUCGGUGCAGCGCCAGCUGUGGCGGCUAUUUGGGGAGUGAACCAAUGGAAGGAAAACCUUUCUCUCUGUCUCUCUCUCUCACUGUCUGUAACUCUACCUGUCAAUAAAUAAAAAUUAAAAAUUAAAAAAAAAUUGAAUUGGACACAAUAUUUGUACGUAGUCGUAUUUAUGGGAUGCAGUAUGACAAUGAGAUGCAUAUGCACAAUGUGAUGAUGAGAUAGUGGUAUGUGUUUGGAGCCCACAAACUCCUGUCUCCCGUUCAUCACCCUACUGUGCUGGGGUCAUUAUUCGUCUGCAGAAUUCACCUUUCUAAGGAGGAUAGCACCUCAUACAUCACCAGGGCUGCUCAGCCCCAGACCUCUGCAUCACACAUCAUUUCUUCCAGAGCUAGCAGGGUUUUUUUUUUUUUAUUCCAGAAACACGAAUGACAGAAAUAUGGUGGGUUUUUUUAUUUUUAAGAUUUUAUUUAUUUAUUUGAGAGGUAGAGUUACAGACAGUGAGAGGGAGAGACAGAAAGGUCUUCCAUCUGCUGGUUCACUCCCCAAAUGGCCGCAACGGCGAGCUGAGCUGAUCAGAAGCCAGGAGCUUCUCCUGGGUCUCCCACGGAGGUGCAGGGGCUCAAGCACUUGGGCCGUCUUCUACUGCUUUCCCAGGCCACAGCAGAGAGCUGGAUCAGAAGUGGAGCAGCUGGGCCCAUAUGGGAUGCUGGCCCCACAGGAGGAGGAUUAACCUACUUCAUCCCAGCGCCGGCCCCAAACUGUUGGUUUUAUAUUCAUAUUUAUUUCUUAAAUUUCACAAAUCAACAAGUCAGACUUACUCUGUCCUCGCAUAUUGUGAAAGAAUGGCAAUUUCCGACUUUUCUCGUGAAGAAUGCCUGGCUUGUUGACUUUGGAUGGUCUGUGUCUGCCUGACACCCCUUCAGACCCCACAUUCAAGGAGUUAACGUGACAACUGCUCCGGACUCCAGUCCUUGCUUUCCACUUCAUUUCACAGUCAGAGUUUCCAUUGUCCCCUUGAACUUGGAUUGCGAGACACCUCCUCCCAGUCUCCCCCAAACACCGCUCAUCCAGCCUCUUCACUCCUCCCAGAAGAGCUAACAAAGGUCACCUGCAUGCUAAGGAGUUUGCUUUUAUGCUUAGAUUCCCUUAGACAUUCUCAUUUGCAUACUAAAUGGCUUUACACAAUGCUUUGCAUCUUAUUAUGUUCAAUUUUAGAAAAGUGAGUAUUUUGCUUACCUUUUCUUCACCUGCCUCUCCCAUACCAAAAGUUGGAACUGACUUCUUCCUGUGUGUUUCUAACCCCCACACCUAAAUGAACCAACUCCUCAUAGCCUGAUCCCUGAAAUUUUGCUUACAGAAUUAUAAAAGUAAAUAAUUUUGUUCAACAAACUUACAGACAAUUCAAAUAUUCAACCUAAAAUUCAUUCCACCAAAGAAGGUAUUUAAACAACAAAGGAGCCCCCCCCCCCAAGCAUUGUAGCCUUGAGUUAUUUGUGUGGUGAAAAGACUCAUUUGCCUUUGGUUAGAUGGAGGACACAUUUCAGUGUAAUCUUGACGAUGCUGACAGUCUGCAGAGCAAAGACGUAUUGCUAGCUGUGUGUCUUGAUUCGUUUCUCUAACCAGAACAGAGAAAUUUGUUGCUCAUAGUUCUGGGUGCUGCACAGCCCAGUUGCCAUGGUGCCUGCAUCUGGUGAGGGCCUUUGUUCUGUGUUCUGAUGGGUGGAGGCUAAAGGGGAGAGGGAAAGGGAGCUGAACUUGCCCUAGAUAACUGUGCAAUCCCGCCCACAGGGGCAGAGCCUAGUCACCUUCCAAAGUGUCCCCCUCUCAACGCUGUCACCAAGGCGAUGCGUCCAGAGGGAAGAGGGGCUCAGGCUCAGCACUGUGGCCAUCAGCUUCUAAGAGAGCCUGCAGCCGAUGCUGCAGCACAGCGGAUAAAGCUACCGGCUGCUCCACUUCCAACCCAGCCUCUGCUGUGGCCUGGGAGGGCAGUAGAAGAUGGCCCAGGUCCUUGGGCCCCUGCACCCGUGUGGGAGACCCGGAGGAGGCUCCUGGCUCCUGUGUUUGGAUCAGCCAGCUCUGGCCAUCAUGGCCAUUUGGGGAGUGAACCAGUCAAUCAAAGAACUCUCAUUCUCUCUCUUUCUCUGUCUCUCUGUAACUCUGCCUUUCAAACAACUAAAUAAUUCUUUACUAAAUAAACAAGACAGAACAUGCCUCUCUAGUGGCGUCUUCAAUCUUCCUGUUGGAAGGGGGCUGAAUUUAUUGACUUGGUUCUAAUAUUAGAGUAAGACAGUGGGCACGGUGUGACUCAGGCUAGGUGGCACGUGGCUGCGUGAUUCCUCUCCCUGUCUCUCUCCCAUGACCAUUAGCUCCGAUGGAAACCAGAGACCAGGUUCCUGACCAACUGGGGCCUAACGGUGAGAACCGAGGCCUGCUCCCAGCCAGAGCCCCCAGCCCAGCGCAGUUCUGAGCUGAGGGCCACCUCAGGGCCCUCAGAAACCAGAGUGCUCCCCAUUGCAAGCCGCCAGGUUUCAGGGGUAAUUUGCUGCACAGUAGCUGUAACUAACGCGCUGGACCAACCUUGCUGAGAACAGAGCUGAAGGGAGGAGGUCACUCCAGAUGUUUGUCGUGCUGGACCUUUUGCUCUUGUGUUUCUUAUUUAGGAUGCGCUAUUUUUAUAGUUAAUUCAAGAACGAAUGAAUGCCUUGGACCAACUGGACUGGUGUUCUUAGAAGCAGAGGCUAGGACCAGAGAUAAACACAGAGGAGAACCAAGGACAUCAGUCCGCUUCCUGUGCUGUAACUGCAUCCUGGCGUGGGGGAAUACAACAAAGCUGAGAGUUAACUGCAGAGCCCCAGAGGCUGGGAAGUGGAGCAUCCAGGAGGCAGCGUCUGGUGGGGGCCUUCCUGCCGCGCUGGAUGCUGGGGAGGCGUCACACUGCAAGAGACAGGCAUGGAAGCGUGUUUCUGACCAGGCCACUCGGGCCUCAUGGCCCCCGCUAAUCCUGACCUCCCAAGGCCCUGCCUCCCACGCUAUCCACCUAUGAACUUGAAGAUGAUAUUUCCAACACGUGAGCUUUCUAAAAACACACCAGCACAGGCGUUCCCAGGGAAGAGAAUCAGGAGGCAAGCUCCUCCCUGUGGCUGGACGGGGCUGGGACCUGCGUCCUGGGCUUCCACUCCAUCCUUAGGCUCCGGAGAGGUACGCACUUUGCUCUUGGAAGUUUCCUGAAUAUGCUUGCCUGCAUUUAACCGUCUUGACUUGACGCUCAACAGUUUCACCUUAUAAAUCUUUGAAAAUAGAAUAGGUCAAGCCAGUUAGGGUCAAGUACAAAGCCUUAUUAACUGGUUUGUUCAUAAUGAGAUAAAUACAAUUUAAAAUCAGAAGAUUUUGUAAAGCGGCAGUUAUCUUUGAGGAAAGCAGAGGUGAAAGAAAUCCAUUUUGUGAGUGCUUUUUAUGUGGAAAAAUGCGUGUAACAUUUUGAACCUCACAUCCUGAAACCCGCCUCGUGAUGCCCCUCCUUAUUCUCAUACAGAUUUGCAAAAAGCAAUUUCAUUUGGGCCAUUAAGAGGGCGGCGAGGUUAUCAGAGAUAAAAUGACAUGAUGUCUAGUGUUUGCUUUCCAUGAGGGGAGGCAGAUGAGAUAAGAUUGAAAAAAUGUUAAUAGUUCAAACAGUGUGAUGAAUACAUAGAAUUCCUUUUACACAUGUGUAUUGUUUUUAAUAUGUUUGAAUUUUCCUAAUGACAAAAUAAUGGUAAACUCUCCACAUAUUGCCACUGAAGUCCUUGGCUUUAAUAUUUGGCAGCUUAGUUACAAAUUUCCCAUCUUUACAAAUACAGAGAAAUGAUUUUCAGGUAGGAUCUACUUUGGUGUUGGAGCAAGAGGGCUAAUUUUUUUUAAGAUUUAUUUAUUUAUUUAAAAGGCAUAGUUACAGAGAGGGAGAGAAUGGAGAGGCAGAGAGAGAGAGAGAGAGAGAGAGAGAGAGAUGUCUACCAUCCACUGGUUCACUCCCCAGAUGGCCACAACGGCCGGAGGUGUGCCUAUCUGAAGCCAGGAGCCAGGAGCUUCUUCCGAGUUUCCCACAUGGGUGCAGGGGCCCAAGGACUUGGGCUGUCUUCUACUGCUUUCCCAGGCACAUUAGCAGGGAGCUGGGUCAGAAGUGGAGCAGAAAGCACAUGGGAUGCCGGUGCUACCGGUUAUGGCUUAACCAGCUAUGCCACAGCACCAGCCCUGGCUAUUUUUUUAUGUUUUAUUUAUUUAUUUUGAAUGUCAGAAUUACAGACAGAGAGAAAUCUUCUAUCAGUUUGCCCAUUCCUCAUGGGCUGGCACCAUGGCAUAGUGGGCUAAGCCUCUGCCUGCAGUGCUGACAUACCAUAUGGGCAUGGGUUCAAAUCCUAGCUGUUCCACUUCUGAUCUAGCUCUCUUCUAUGGCCUGAAUGGCUGCAAUGGCCAGGGCUGGGCGGGACCAAAGCCAGGAGCCAGAAGCUUCAUCCAGGUCUCCCAUGUGGGUGGCAGGAGCCCAAGCACUUGGGCCAUCUUCCACUGCUAUUCCCAGGCCAUUAGCAGGGAGCUGGACUGGAAGUGGAGCAGCUGGGACACAAACCAGUACUAGGGAAUGGGCCCCUAGGCAGAGGAUAAAGGGGAAUCAGGCAACAGUACCUGGCAUGGACAGCCAUCUCUGACCCUAUCCUUCAGUAGGCAUUCUUGUGGCCAUAACCCAGUAGAGGGGAAAGCACUUAGUUGUGACUGGAUGGCCAGGGAGGGCGGGAGCUGAUGUGGAAUCCAUCUGUAGCUGUCCCAAUCCAAGAUUGGCGCUUAAGGGAACUGAUUCAGCUAAGAAAGAGCAAAUGGCAAGGAUGACAGUGCCGUGUGUGAGGAGGAACAGAGUCCCCUCUCAUGAUUGGAGAUUUGGGAAAGGCAGCUCUUUGGAACCAAAGAUGAGGCAAGACUGACAGGUGCUCAAGCCACCCUGACAGCUGUGUCAGAGGGGAGCUGGGCUCCUGGCCAGGUCUGACGCAUUGAACAGAUCCCCUGGGGGACAGCCCUGCUGGCAGUCUAUGGGGGUGUGGAAUUCCUAGUUCCUUGGAUGUUCGACUGUUAACAUGGUGCCUUCUGUAUGAUCAGCUCAGAUAUUUGAGUGCUUGCAUGAUUGCCAUUGUGGGUGUAUGAUAAACAGGUUUAUUUUUCUAAGAUAGAGAUUAAGAAGGCAAGAUGUGAUAUUUAUUAGUGAUGUGUUUCUUGGUUUGAUUUUUUUUCUCAUGAUACAUUUUUCAUGAACUUUAUUUUUUAUUUAAAGAAUACAAACUUCAUGCAUUUAAUACAUACAAAUUUGGGAACAUGGUGAUUCUUCCUUCCCUGCCUCCCUUCCACUCUUACUCCCUCCCUUCUUCCUCCUCCUUCUCCCUCUCUCACUCUUCUUUUUUAUAUAGAUCUAUUCUCAGUUAAUUUUAUACUCAUCAGAUUAACCCUACACUAAGUAGAGAGUUCACUGAACAGUAUGAAGGAAAAGGAACAAAAGUAAACAAACAAGAAAAACAGUGUUCCUCUGCAGUUAAGACAAGGGCUGUUCGAAUUCAUUGCAUUUCAAGGUGUCAGUUUCACUUGGAUAGAUUACCUUUUAGGUACUUUUAUUAGUUACCACAGAUCAGAGAGAUCACAUUGUGUUUGUCUUUUUGUGACUGGCUUGUUUCACUAAGUAUGAUGUUUUCCAGUUACAUCCAUUUUGUUGCAAAUGACAGGAUUUAAUUUUUUUUUACCACUGUGUAGUAUUCCAUUGUGUGUGUGUAUAUAUAUAUAUAUAUAUAUAUAUAUACACAAUAAUUUCUUUAUCCAGUCUUCAGCUUAUAGACAUCUAGGUUGAUUCCAUAUCUUAGCUAUUGCAAAUUGAGCUGAAAUGAACAUGGCGGGUACAGCUCACCUCUUCAUAUGCUGGUUUAAUUUCCUUUGGAUAAAUUCCCAGGAGUGGGAUUGGUGGGUCUAUAUUCAGCUUUCUGAGGUAUCUCCAUUCUGUCUUCACAGUGGCUGUACCAGUUAACAUCCCCACCAACAGUGGAUGAGGAUGCUUUUCCCCAUAUCCUCACCAGCAUUUGUUGUUUGUUGAUUUGACUUUUCAAAGAUACACACGAUGUUCUCUCUUUCUUGGCUCGCUCCUUAGCCAUUUUCUAUAGGUAAAGUGGAUGGAUUUAAUGUGGAAUAUAUUAGUUAUAUUAUCAAAACUUUUCUAGAUGUCAAGGUUUUGUUUUUUUUUUUUUUUUUUUGAAAGGAAAGAGUUUUGAGUCUCUUUGUCUCCCUGAGUUAAGCAGCAUUUUAAUCUGGAGUUUAUACCUCUGGCUUACACCUUUUGGGGGUUGAAAUGUGUCCUUCAAAAAGAUAUGUUCAGGUACUAAUCCUCAGAGUCUGCAGAGGUGAGCCUAUUUAGGAAUAGGAUCUUUGCAGCUAUGAUUGAGUUAGAUGAGGUCAUAGUAGCUUAGCAUGGGUAGGGAUACAGAGACAGAGAUGCAUACAGGGAGAAUCCCAUGCACCAACAGGUGGAUUGGAGCGAUGUACCUGGAGGCCCAGGAAGGCCAAGCAUUGUCACUAACCCAUAGCAGCCAGGAAGAGGCAAGCAAGGGUCUUCUCCCAGAGCCAUCAGAGGGAGCAUGAACCUGCAAUCACCUGGAUUUCAGACUUCAGACCUCAGGACCUGGAAGAGAAAAAAGUGUUGGGCCACCCAGUUUGUGGCACAUUGCUGUGGAAGCCCUAAGAAAACAUAGCAGCCAGGGAAUGGAGACGCUAAGCAUGGGAGCCCAGUGUUCUUCGAACUCAUUCCUAUGAUGGUCCACAGAGAAUGUCCAUUAUUUGUAUGGCACUUUGGGGAAAGUGGAAAUAUUUGCAAAGGUGAUCUUAUGGGGCAUUAUGAAGAAAAUCACUGUAUUGUUUAUACUACAUAGGUGUUGAGAGACAAUUACCCUUGGGUCUCCCCAGUUUCAGACACCUUACACGCACAGUCACUGAUGACUGUGGGAGACAUGUUGUCAUCCUCCGAGCAAGGUGGCAGGUAUGCUUAGUCUCCCUUUUAAUGAAUCUGACUUUCCUAAGGUUAGAGUUCCUCUUCUGUAAUGCAGCCCAGGCAAUAUGAAGCUGUUACCUGGCCCUGUCCAUGUCGUCCUGUGGGGCUUGGGCACUGAUGCAAAAGUAUAGCUACUCAGGAGACCGCGACUGCUGCGAGUAAUAUCUUUUUCCUUGGACACACGAAUCUCCUGUUUUCUGUCAUUGUCCAAAAAGUUUAUCAGGCUAACUUGUCUGUUUGCAAAGACCAAUUCUUAGAGCCUUUGCAAGUCUCAGCAAUAAUUAUGCCAAGCAUGAAGAUAAAAAUAUUAGAUGCAAUAUUCAUUGAAUUUGUAUUAACAAUUCAAAUCACUUUUCAAAUAUUUUAAUGAGGAUAGUUCUUAACUUUCGUAUCAGGAUUUUGCCUUGCAAGACUCACAUCUCAGCUUCUGAUCAAGGCUGUUCAGUUUUGAUCUUAAAGUCUUUUUUUUUUUUUUUUUUUGACAGGCAGAGUUAGACAGUGAGAGAGAGAGAGAGAGAAAGGUCUUCCUUUUUCCAUUGGUUCACCCCCACUAAGUGGCCGCUACAGCCGGCGCACCGCGCCAAUCCGAAGCCAGGAGCCAGGUGCUUCUCCUGGUCUCCCAUGGGGUGCAGUGCCCAAGCACCUGGGCCAUCCUCCACUGCCUUCCCGGGCCACAGCAGAGAGCUGGACUGGAAGAGGAGCCACCAGGACAGAAUCCAGCACCCCGACUGGGACAAGAACCUAGGGUGCCAGCGCCGCAGGCAGUGGAUUAGCCUAGUGAGCCCCGUUGCUGGCCUUGAUCUUAAAGUCUUGUCACUUGGGGGAGCUUUGUGAUGUAGUGGAUUAAGCCUCUGCCAGCAAUGCUAACAUCCCGUAUCAGUGCUAGUCCCUUUCCUGGCUGCUCCACUUCCGAUCCACUCCCUGCUAAUGGCCUGGAAAAUUGGUGGAAGAUGGCCCAAGUGUUUGGACUCCUGCCAGCCAUGUGGGAGACCCAGAAGAAGCUCCUAGCUUAGGCCUGGUCCAGCCCUGGCCAUUGUGGUCUUCUAGGGAGUGAACCAGACAAUGGAAGAUCUGUCUGUCCAUCUUUCUCUGUAACUGUGAUUUUCAAAUAAAUAAUAAAAAUCUUUCUUUUUUAAAUUUUUGUGUCUCCCCAAAGAAACCCUUUAUUUAAGGAAUGCAAACUUCAUGCAUUUCUUAAGUACAACUAGUGAUUCUUCCCACCGUCCCGCCCUCCCACUCACACUCCCACCUCUCCUCCUCCUCCCUCUCCUCUUCCUAGUCUCAUUCUCCACCAAGAUCCAUCUUCAAUUAACUUUAUACACAGAAGACCAACUCUAUACUGAGUAAAGCGAUCAACAAUUUGCACAAAAAAAUAAAAAUAAAAAAUGUUCCUCAACAGUUGAGACAGGGGCUGUUCAAAGUCAUUGCAUCUCAAAGUUAAUUUCACUUUUUUGAAAAAAAAAAAAAAACUUAAUUAACUUUAAAGAAGCAGCCAAGAAUGAUACAUCUUUUGUGAGCACUCUGAAAUAAUUAUAACUUAUGGGACAUAAGAAUAUCCUCCACUUAAUUCAUUAAAAGAGAGUAAGUCCUUGAAAAUGAGUUUUAUCAUUAAUUAAGGAAGCACCUAAGAAAACAAGCAAUGAAGAUGGACACUUAGGCAUAACUAAAACUUAUGCAACAUAAGAAUAUUCUCCAUUUAAUACACUAAAAUGAAAUAAAUCUUUGAGUACAACUUUUACUAUUAACUCUCAUCAUACAGCUCUUUGAGGACAGAGAUCCUACAAGAGAAGUUAGUGUAUAGUGACUCCCGUUGUUAAUUUAACAAUUAACACUCUUAUGCAUGAUGUCAGUGACCACCCGAGGCCCCCCACAUGUGCUGCCGAGACUAUGGAAGCCUUCCAAAUCCGUGAAUUUUGUCAGUAUUUAGACAAGGCCAUAAGCAAAGUGGAAGCUCUCUCCUCCCUUCAGAGAAAGGACCUCCUUCUUUGAUGGCCCAUUCUUUCCACUGGGGUCUCACCCACUGAGAUCCUUCAUGUAGGACAUUUUUUGCCUCCGUGUCUUGGCUUUUCAUGCUGGAAAUGCUCUCGUGAGCUUGUGCAUUGAGCUGCAAUAAACAUGGGCUGCAGAUAACCUUCCUAUGCUGAUUGACUUUCCCUUGAGUAAAUCCCCAGGAGUGGGAUGGCUGGGUCAUAUGGCAGGUCUAUAUUCAGAUUUCUGAGUUAUCUCCAUACUGUCCUUCUAUAGUGGCUUUACCAGUUUACAUUCCCACCAACAGUGGAUUAGGGUACCUUUUCCCCACAUCCUCACCAGCAUUUGUUGUUUAUUGAUUUCUGUAUGAAAGUCAUUCUAACUGGGGUGAGGUGAAACCUCAUUGUGGUUUUGAUUUGCAUUUCCCUGAUGGCUAGUGAUCCUGAGCAUUUUUUCAUGUGUCUGUUGGCCAUUUGGAUCUUGUCUUUUGAAAAAUGUCUGUUCAAGUCCUUUGCUCAUUUCUUAACUGGGUUGUUUGUUGUUGUUGAGUUUCUUGAUCUGUUUAUAUAUUCUUGUUAUUAAUCCUUUAUCUGUUGUAUAGUUUGCAAAUAAUUUCUCCCAUUCUGUCAGUUGCUGUGGGGAGCAAACCGGACUAGACUGAGUUACUGGAAUUAGGACUUAUUCUAUGCAUCUGCUCUCCCACAAUAUGGCGCUGGGAGAGAAGUAAACAGCUUCCGCACAGCUGCCUCCAGUUCAACCAAUAAACUGUAGGACCUGCUCCUGAUUGGAGGAGAGCAGCGUACUCGGCGUGUGGGCAGCCGAGUUAGGAUUGGCGGAGGAGGACUAUAAAGGAGGAGAGAGACGGCAUGCACCAGGAACAUCUAAGGGGAACAUGUAGCUGAAGGAACACCUGUGCAGCCCCCCCGAGAGAGCCGGCCGGCGGUGUGCCGCUCCCCUGCGGAAGUGGGGAAUGUGGCCAGGGGGAACUGCCCUUCCACGGAGGUGGAAGGGAUAGUAGCCAACCCGGGAAGAACCAGCAGCAAACCCGGGGAGGGCCGAGCAGACGAAAGAAUAGCGCAGGGUCCUGUGUCGUUCCUCCACGAAGAGGGGGAGCGACAAGUUGCCUCUAAAAAAAUUCUUGUCAUGUUCCACAAGAAACUAUUUUGAUUCAACUAAAUGGUGAAAUUUUCUAAAUCAUGUUUUUCAAUCAUUUGAAAAAAUUAUAGUGUAAAAUGCAAACAUGAAGAUACUUCAGAAAGUUCAGAGAAAACUAGAAUUAAAAGAUAAGUUUAUUUUGGGCUCCUUAGAAUGUACAUGGAAAGUGUGCAUUAUGAAAAUGUUGUGCUUAGAUUCCAAAAAUUUCUUUUUGCUUCCCGUAAAUGUAUCCUUUAAUUCCACAAACCUUUUAAAAGUAUUUAUUUGUUUAUUUAUUUAAAAGACAAGUUACAGAGAGAGGGGGGGAGAGACAGAGAGAAAGUGAGAUCUCCCAUCUGCUGGUUCACUCCCCAAAUGGUGGUAAUGGACAGGGUGAGCCAGGCGGAAGUCAGGAGCAUGGAGAUCCAUCCAGGUCUCCCACGUGGGUGCAGGGGCCCGAGCACUUGGGCAUGCUCCAUUGCUUUCCCAGGUGCAUUAGCAGGGAGCAACUGAGACUCAAACCAACAUAAGGGAUGCCAGAGUUGCAAGUGGUGUCUUAACCCUCUGCACCACCACGCCAGCCUCUCUACAAAUUUUUGAAGUCCCCCUGUAAACUUAAAAUGUGGGAAAACUUUCAAAUAUAGUGCUUUGAAAUAAUGGUGAGGAAUUCAUCAACAGAAAACACAAACUAGCUUGAGCCCUGCAGGCAACAUCAUCUGCUUAAAGGAUCAGAAGCCCUCCCACUCCUUCUCUCCCUCCUGUGGGGAGCCAGCCAGGAGUGGAGCCCCCAGUGCUCACCUGUGAAGGGCACAGAGCUUUCUGGAGCCCACUGCUGCAGUAGACGGGUUGCACUGGGUAACAGCACUCUGGCUGCACUGUGUUCCUGGGUUUUUGUCUGGACCCCGUGCCAAGUCUUCCCACUCCACUGGCCAAGGCUGGCCUCCUCCUUCAGGCCACCCAGAGGCCUAAAGCUGUCACGAUUUCAGCGCACAUCUGUCACCCAUUUACACAAUGGUCCCUUCAAGUGGCUCACUAGCUGCUUGAAUAAAAAUUGAGCUGGGAAGGCUCAACCCAAACAUUUGGAAUCUCAGCUGCCAUCUCUUUGUCACAGCAAACAUCACAUGUUGUCAGCAGAGCAUUGUGCACCCGCUGACCCCUGCCCAUCCUCAAAUAACCUGUGUGAGCUGCCAUGUGCAUCCGUUGUCUCCUCUUCCACUUGGUGCAUCCGAAUCCCUCAGAGUUGAGUGCCAGGGUCCUCCACGGGCACAUCCUGGCCUGUGGCUGAUACCUUGCACCGUCGCCUGUCAACCUGGUCCCUCUCCUGCCCCAGCCAUCCCCGUGCUCCUGGAAGGAAUGCUGAGUGAGCUCCUCCAUCCUCAACCACGUGCCCACCCUGGAUACAUUUUUAUUUUGCUGCCUAUUCCCUUUCCUACGGUCCCUGUGAUAGUGGCCUUUUUGAUACUAAUACUGAUUGGAGUUCUUCUCAUAUUAAUGACAGGACCGGUAAAAUCAGGGUAAGAAGAAAGCAGAAUGAGGUCAGAAAGGAUGUCCGAAUACAUUCGUCAAAAUAAAAAGCUUCCAGAAAGGAGAGAGUUUUUCAUUCAGGAUACCAAGGAGGAGGGCGCUUAAACCUGUGAAUGAGGCAGAUGCAGACCCAGGAACCUGGAGAGCUCAUCUCUCAGCUGUCGCAUCUCCCUGGGAGGUCCUGAUGGUCUACUGUGCUCUUGGCCGCACAGCACCCCCAGGGUUGAAUUCAACCUCAGAUGGGAGCAGGAGGAGCCAGGGCUUCUGCUGGGCAGGCAGGGUGCUGCAGCCGGCAGAGGCCCAAGGGUGCCAUCGUGACUCUGAACACAGCACCUGCAGAGACAGGUCCUCACCAGCCGUGGAGAGGAGACCGUCAACCUUGUGCAACCAAGAAAGGAGAACUGUGGUGAUGCCGCACUCAAGGGGAGGGACUUCUGGUUGGUCCACAGAUGCCAUGAUGAGCUCAGAUGAGUUGGGGGGAGGCAGGGCUGGGCCAAGACCUUGUCAGAAUAGCUGGGGGGGUCUUUCAUCACUUAGGGAGAGACUAAGCCGACUGCUUAUCUGCAGAGAGGGAGACCAAGAACACCUGCUUGUUUCCUCCAAGAAUCAAACCCCAAAGCCUCCCCUGAAGGGAAGCAGGUAUUUCAAACAGUUUUAGCAGCUCGGCAGCACCGACCAUCUUCAUCCCCGAAAUCGACUUAGUUUGUUGCAGAGUGAGCAACCAUUGCAGAACACACAAAUCCAUUACAAAUCACUUAGACAUAGGAAGGCUUGAACAUUUGAUAAAAUCAGCCAUGACUUAAAAUAUCUUAACGGAUGAGUAAAUAAACUGAAUCGAAUUAUCCAAAGGAAAGCAUAGGGUGUUUUUUAUUAUUAUUUUGUUGAUUUUUUGUUACAUUUGAAGAUGUUUUGGUUUCUGUAUUUGAAAUACAAGAUCUUUGUAUCAUUCGUUCUUUUCUUACACUUUGUUGUAUUCGACGUACUUUUAUUGAAUUUCUAGGAAAUGCCUUAGCUUGGCUAAUU